AACGCAUCUUGCGCUCCUUGGUAUUCCGAGGAGCAUGCCUGUUUGAGUGUCAUUUCAAGUUCUCAACCGCAUCAAUUUCUCGUUGAUGUGGCUUGGAUGUGGGGGAUUGCAGGCUUCUGUCAAAGGAGGUCGGCUCCCCUGAAAAACAUUAGUGGUAUCUGAGCAGAAGAAACUACUACAGGUGUGAUAAUUAUCUAUGCCUUUCAGUAUGCUGCAUAAAAACAGAUUGCACUGCUUCUAACUAGUGAAAACCUCUCUACAAAGGAGGGGCCACGUUUGACGAAUUUGACCUCAAAUCAGGUAGGACUACCCGCUGAACUUAA
rnacentral:misc_RNA from 1 species